rnacentral:rRNA from 1 species
UACGUAGGGUGCGAGCGUUAAUCGGAAUUACUGGGCGUAAAGUGUGCGCAGGCGGCCGCGCAAGUCGAGUGUGAAAUCCCCGAGCUUAACUUGGGAAUUGCGCUCGAAACUACGUGGCUGGAGUGUGGCAGAGGAAGGUGGAAUUCCACGUGUAGCGGUGAAAUGCGCAGAUAUCAGGAAGAACACCCGUGGCGAAGGCGGUUCUCUGGGACGGUACUGACGCUGAGACGCGAAAGCGUGGGGAGCGAACAGG